AGGACGAACGCUGGCGGCGUGCUUAACACAUGCAAGUCGAGCGGAAAGGCCCUUCGGGGUACUCGAGCGGCGAACGGGUGAGUAACACGUGAGCAACCUGCCCUCAGCUCUGGGAUAGCUCCGGGAAACCGGAUUAAUACCGGAUAUGACCCUGACUGACAUCGGUCAGGGUGGAAAGGAUUCCGGCUGAGGAUGGACUCGCGGCCUAUCAGCUAGUUGGUGGAGUAACGGCCCACCAAGGCGACGACGGGUAGCCGGCCUGAGAGGGCGACCGGCCACACUGGGACUGAGACACGGCCCAGACUCCUGCGGGAGGCAGCAGUGGGGAAUAUUGCGCAAUGGGCGAAAGCCUGACGCAGCGACGCCGCGUGGGGGAUGAAUGCCUUCGGGUUGUAACCCUUUCAGCAGGGACGAAGCGAGAGUGACGGUACCUGCAGAGAAGCGCCGGCUAACUACGUGCCAGCAGCCGCGGUAA
rnacentral:rRNA from 1 species